AGCAGCACAGGACAGUCCAGCCACCCCACAGGUGUUGAAGAAAAUGACAGUCCUGUCCAUCUGCAUCCCUAAGCCAUAUGACAUCUUUCAGCUUCUCCAAGAAGGAAACCUACUGCAGCAAUAUUUAAGUGUCUGACUAGAAAGGAAGUGGAAAACACAAGGUUUCACCCUUUCAAAGACAUUAGUCAUUGGAACACAGGUCUUCUGAGUUUCACAAGGAUGAAUCCUCUCUUCCAUCCCAUUCAGUAUUGAUACAAUGACCUGAUGAAACAACCUAAGUGAAAUAUGGGCACUACUGCAGUAAGCAUUACAUAUCUU